UACGUAGGGGGCGAGCGUUGUCCGGAUUCAUUGGGCGUAAAGAGCUCGUAGGCGGUCUGUCGCGUCUGCUGUGAAAUCUCAGGGCUUAACCCUGAGCUUGCAGUGGGUACGGGCAGACUAGAGUGCGGUAGGGGAGACUGGAAUUCCUGGUGUAGCGGUGAAAUGCGCAGAUAUCAGGAGGAACACCGGUGGCGAAGGCGGGUCUCUGGGCAGUAACUGAC
rnacentral:rRNA from 1 species